AAACUCUCAAAAGAUGAACUUUGGACCUGGAACCAGUUUAACCAUCGAAACCAAGGAUGAAGUUGAACCGGAUUUUUACGAUCUGGGUCCGAUUGACGACGGCGGCACCACAGUUUGUCUGGCGACUGGAUUUACUCGACUCAAUGCAACAAUGAAUGAAACUGCCUUUCAGAACAAUUCGCAGAGUCCGAUUAGAGACGCUGAUGGGAAACCGACAGGCGCCUUCAGCCAGGUGGCCUUUCUGACCGCAGGAGAGACAUGUGGAGGGAACAGCACAGAACCGGUCCAAUGUGACGCCAACCUGGAACCAGAUGAAAUGGUGAAUCUGGCCUCCAUCACCAUCUUCGGCCUGAGAGUCAUUUUCAUGAAGACGGUGGCUUUCAACGUCCUGAUGACGCUGCGGCUGUGGAUGAGUCAGUGAUUUAUUGAGGUCAAAGGAAAAGUCCUGGACCGACCCGAUUCGGACCGACCCGAUCUGAUCCGGACCGGACCGACCCGAUCCGGACCGACCCGAUUCGGACCGACCCGAUCUGAUCCGGACCGGACCGACCCGAUCCGGACCGACCCGAUUCGGACCGACCCGAUCUGAUCCGAUCCGGACCGACCCGAUCCGGACCGACCCGAUUCGGACCGACCCGAUCUGAUCCGGACCGGACCGACCCGAUCCGGACCGACCCGAUUCGGACCGACCCGAUCUGAUCCGGACCGGACCGACCCGAUCCGGACCGACCCGAUCCGGAUCUGAUCCGGAUCUGUAGAUAAACCUCCUGUUAAAAAACGAAACGGAGUGAAUAUAAAGUUAUAAAGAUGAUUGUCUUGUGUUUUGUUUGAUGUUUGUGUAAAUAUUAGUUUCAUCAAAGACAAAAAUAUGUAGAUUUAUGACUCUGUGGAACUUCAAAAUAAAAGCCCAAAAUGAA